rnacentral:rRNA from 1 species
AAAAACUCCGGUGGUAUGAGAUGGGCCCGCGUCUGAUUAGCUAGUUGGCGGGGUAACGGCCCACCAAGGCAACGAUCAGUAGCCGACCUGAGAGGGCGACCGGCCACAUUGGGACUGAGACACGGCCCAAACUCCUACGGGAGGCAGCAGUGGGGAAUAUUGCACAAUGGGGGAAACCCUGAUGCAGCGACGCCGCGUGAGCGAUGAAGUAUUUCGGUAUGUAAAGCUCUAUCAGCAGAGAAGAAGAUGACGGUACCUGACUAAGAAGCCCCGGCUAACUACGUGCCAGCAGCCGCGGUAAUACGUAGGGGGCAAGCGUUAUCCGGAUUUACUGGGUGUAAAGGGAGCGUAGACGGCGGUGCAAGCCAGAUGUGAAAGCCCGGGGCUCAACCCCGGGACUGCAUUUGGAACUGUAUGGCUGGAGUGUCGGAGAGGCAGGCGGAAUUCCUAGUGUAGCGGUGAAAUGCGUAGAUAUUAGGAGGAACACCAGUGGCGAAGGCGGCCUGCUGGACGAUGACUGACGUUGAGGCUCGAAAGCGUGGGGAGCAAACAGGAUUAGAUACCCUGGUAGUCCACGCCGUAAACGAUGACUACUAGGUGUCGGGCAGCAAAGCUGUUCG